GGGGAUGACUGGUUUCGACGGGGCAAAUAGGUCGUAAGCUGCAAGCCGAGGGGCUCCAACCUCGCAAAAAGGGAGCAAAACACAACAGCCAACACUGGCAAAGCGUUCACCUUCCCCUUCGCCCGCACCAACGCGAUGGCGAUGGCUGCGUAGGAGAGGGGUAAGGGAACAAACUGGUCGCCUCUGGCGACCACGGUGUCUUCGAUGGGGCCAGGCGGCGUCGAGGAACAUCGUCAGAGACCGUAAGGUGCGGCCCGCAGACGCCGAUGAGCGGGCCUAAGCCAAUCGGCUGGCCGGACUAGCGGACGGUGGUUACUGCUGGACCGUCCGGUGAGACUCAACAUCAGUAACUAAGCUUGUAGACGCUUGCGGUCGUUUGUUUCGGACCCGGGUUCGACUCCCGGCAUCUCCACUG
rnacentral:tmRNA from 1 species